GUGCUCGCUUCGGCAGCACAUAUACUAAAAUUGUAACGAUACAGAGAAGAUUAGCAUGGCCCCUGCGCAAGGAUGACACGCAAAAUAUACAGAGAACUUCUAAAGCUCA